UGAGAAAUCUGCCCUGGACUCUGGGAUAAGCGUUGGAAACGACGUCUAAUACCGGAUACGAGACGUGAAGGCAUCUUCAACGUCUGGAAAGAACUUCGGUCCAGGAUGAUCUCGCGGCCUAUCAGCUAGUUGGUGAGGUAACGGCCCACCAAGGCGACGACGGGUAGCCGGCCUGAGAGGGUGACCGGCCACACUGGGACUGAGACACGGCCCAGACUCCUACGGGAGCAGCAG
rnacentral:rRNA from 1 species